rnacentral:rRNA from 1 species
CGAACGCUGGCGGCGCGCCUAAUUNAUGCAAGUCGAGCGACGCAUUCCUUANCCCGUANGGGCGGGUUUGACGGAGCGNCNAACGGGUGCGUNACACGUGACCAAUCUGCCCCGAANACCGGGAUANCCCGGGGAAACCCGGAUUAAUACCGGAUGAUCUCAUCACCACGCAUGUGGAGAUGAGCAAAGGUUCAGGCGCUUCGGGAUGAGGUCGCGGCCCAUCAGCUUGUUGGUGAGGUAACGGCUCACCAAGGCAAUGACGGGUAGCUGGUCUGAGAGGACGAUCAGCCACACUGGAACUGAGAUACGGUCCAGACUCCUACGGGAGGCAGCAGGAGGGAAUCUUGCGCAAUGGGCGAAAGCCUGACGCAGCGACGCCGCGUGGGGGAUGAAGGCCUUAGGGUUGUAAACCCCUUUCACGAGGGAAGAAACUGACGGUACCUCGAGAAGAAGCCCCGGCCAACUACGUGCCAGCAGCCGCGGUAAU